GUAGACUCUGGGAGACCUGGCUUGAUUUGUCUGAAUGGCAAGCGGCUCUCCUCCUGGCUCUUCUGUGAACGUGGAGAACACACACAUCUUCUAGAAAAUAUCUUACAGAUAAUGCCAGAUGCCUCAACAUAUAGGCUGGGAAACCACAGAGCGAGUGAGAAGAGUCAGAAACCAAGACAAACGAUGUCUUCAAUGAGAAAAGCCGAAGCCGACACCGAACAGGGAGAAUCGUCCUGACGCUGAGACGCUGUUAGGGAGAACCGCAGUGGCCGUGCCAUAGUUGGAGCGAAGGAGUCUGGACACAGAAGUCUUUAUCCUGUUUCCAUGCCCGAGGGCAUGCACAUUUCGACAAGCUUGGAUGUCAUUGGCACAGGAAGUGGAGCAUAUGCUUAAAUAUGGAUUUCCUUUGCUAUUUGGAGACCCUUUCCCUGGUUUGCUGUUUCGGUGGGCUGCCACUACGCUCCAUUUGGUUGUCUUGGAUGGAGUAUCUCUUACCGUGGAUCUUACAGCUCCAAGCCUGGUGGCACCCGGCCACGAUGAGAGCAAGGAGAAGACCCCCUCCUGAGGGUUUUCAAGUUCUGGCUGUCUGGGGCCUCCAUAGUCCUCCCUCCUUCUGGAACACCAGACCCCAGGUUGAGCCCAGCUUCUUAGUGGAGAAACAGGACAUAUAAUGAAUGCUAGAACUUCAUCGAGGAGGCUGUCUCAGUUAGAUUUCUAUUGCUGUGAUAAAGUGCCAUGGCCAAGGCAGCUUACAAAAAAAAAAAAAAAAAAAAAAAAAAAGAGUCUUAUUUUGGCUUAUGGUUUCAGACGGUUAGAGUUCAUGUUGGUGCAGUGAAGAUAGAGCUGAGUGCUUACAUCUUGAUCUACAACUGAAAGAGACAGAAAGAAAGAGAGAGAGAGAGAGAGACAGAGAGAGGAUACACACCAAGACCAGUAGGAGUCUUUUGAAACCUCAGAGCCUACUCCCAGUGACGUAUCUUCUUCAACAAGGCAGAAUCCUCCUGAUCUUUUGCAAACAGUUCCACCAAUUGGAGACCAAGUAUUCAGAUAUAUGAGCCUUUGAGGCUACUCUCACAGAAAUCAUCACGAGAGAUAAAGAAGGGCCCCAGUGAGUCGGAAGCGUGGGGCAGUAUCGUCAGUUGCAGUUCUCCGGGUCAGAAGUAUCUCUGAGAUCUCCAUGUUGAACUCCAAACAAGGCUCCACCAUUCACAGCUGCUUCUUUUGUGCUUUGGGAGCCUGCAGUGAGUCCAGGAGGGAACCACGCAGAUGGUCAUUCGCCGUGACUGAGAACUUCCACCCAGUGCGCCAGUGACUGAAGUGAACGACGGCCUGAAAUCCUGCGUGUCAAGAGCCGCAGAUCUGUUCCAGUGGCCACUGGCUACAUGGCUGGUUGUGGUGCAUAGGCUCUCAACAGGUGCUGCCCAAACCAUUUAGCCUUGUAAUGUGAUAAUGGCCUGCUGGUGUGAGAAAGGAUGGCUUGCGACCAACUGAGGGGAAGGAAGGUGAUCUUUCUGUUGAUGUUGUUCUAAAUCUGUAUCACAGCUUGGUUCGACUACACCAUCUCAUAAAUCAUAGUGAGCUGUAUGUUUCAAGAAAUCGGUGGGUAAAAUGUUCUUUAUGGGCACGCUGGGCCCCUCACUGAGGUUACUUCUCAGAUAAUGCCUCUUACUUCACGUCGGUUUUCUUUUACCCUGUAACUGGUGUAUCUGUCAUUUUUCCUGCACCGGGUUGUGGCUGAAGAGUCAGAAGAGUCAGGGCUCGAGGUUAAAUAACAAUUCUGCUGGUUUGGGACUUUGUCACAUCCAAGGAGUCUUUUCUCUGCAGCAAGGUCUCAGGCUCCUUUUUGUUUGUUUGUUUGUUUUUUGUAAGAUGGGAACUAAAGGGCCAGCAAGAUCGCUCAGAAGGACAAGACAUUUUCCUGCCAAGGUCAAACCUCUCUAAGGCCCCACGAGGUGGAAGGAAAGAAGUUACUUCCUUUGGCCUUCACAAGUGCACCACUGCACUUAGGGACUCAUAUGCAUACACACCCAAAACCAAUCCAAAAAGUACAUUUCAUGGAAAUAAAAUAUUCUCACAUUUUUGCUUUGUUGUGAAGAUUCUUGUCUGAGCAGGUAUACGGGGAAGUCUGGGAAUGGAUUGUCAUAUGAAUACUUGUUUUUGUUUGGCAAUCUGCAAUAUAAUAGUAUUCAUUCAUCGAGCAGAAGGAUGGAGGACAAAACCCUGCCCCUGGGGACCUUCUGUAGGCUGCCACUGACUAGACGGUGAUGGCAGUCUGGUUCGCCUGUUUCGUAGCCUAACACACUGCCCACAUGCCCUUCCAUCAUGAGUUUGAAGUCAUCAGGAGGGCCAUUGUCUGACUCCUCACUUUCGCCCAAACAGAUCCUGUCCACUGUGGUUCCUCAAUCUGCCAGGCUGUUUGCCUUGUCAAAGGAGGAGAUGAGGUUAGCUUUGUCCCCGUGGAGCCUCGCCUUUCUGUGUUGUCAUGGCCCACUCUCUCAGCUCUCUUCCAGGAUCGUGUCCAGGAGCAACAGUCAAAGCACUGGUGUCACGUGGGAUGUUCCUGCCACUUCUGUUCUUCCAUGCUAUUGUUUUGAAACCAGGAGCUUUGUUCUCCUCAUCUUUAGUCUUCUGGUACCAGAUCUGCUUUUCCCACCAGGAUUUAUGACAAAGGACGGUCAGGAGCCACCUCUUUCAGGUCCAGGUGGCAUUCACAGUGUGUUUUGAUCCCUCCACUCAUUUUCGCUGAGCACUGUGAAAUCAGCAUGGGUUGUGUUUGCCCUUGUAACAUCACCAUGGCUAAAGGCUUCAUGUUGAAAAGACCAUAGAAUGUGUUCUGAUACAUGAUCAAUGCAUCUAAAAAUACAGUGUUGCUUUCAGUCCCCCUGGGAAAACAAAACCAACCUUAUAAAAGGGCAGUAUGCUAUUAAGUAUAUUGUAAUACUUUGUUAUGGCUAGCAAAAUUAUAUGCUUCAUUGUUGAAAAGUCUAAAUUUAAAGAGAUAUUUGGGGGGUUGGAGAUGUAACUCAGUUUGUAGAAUACUUGUCUGGUAUGCAAAAUGUCUUUUUUUUUUUUUCACCAGAAUCUCAUAGAUCAGGCAUGAAGGUAUACACACACACACACACACACACACACACACACACACGUAUAUACAUAAUCUUAACACUUCAGAUGUGUGGAGGCAAGAUAAGAGGUUCAAGGUCAUCUUUAGCUACAUAAUGAGUCCAAGGUUAGCAAGUAUGUGAGAGCUUGGAGACAGACAGAAACACACACACACACACUGGGGCUGGGAGGAUGGAAGUUGAAAUUGAUUUGGUGUUAAAAAGCUCAAAGUCCAUUUGAGGCCAGCCUGGCCUACAUAGUGAGUUCUAGGCUACCCAGAGUUACAUAUUGAGAUUCUGUGUAAAACAAAAGCAAAAGCAAACCAAAUGAACAGAAACAACCAAAAUAAGCUCAAAGGCCAUUACAUGGAGUUUUUAACUUUGUGUAGCUCCGUGUUAACAUGAACAAAAUAGCUUAAUUUGAAAUUAUUUCCUAAUUAUAAAUAUAAUAGUACCAAUACAAAUGUCUAUUUAGUAAAUAAAUACUGUAUUUUUGUCUUAUGUUGGAUGUUUGACAUGCUUAAUUUUGUAUAACGUAAUUAUUGGGUAAGAUAGGGUUCGCGAUGAGAAACAGUCUUAGGCAGCCUGUGAACGAUGGGCAGAUGAGCAGGACUUGAAUUUAGAUCUCUUGGUGCAGACUCUAAGCUCUUAUUCUGUUCCAGCGUGACUUAGAGUGAUGCUUGACUUUUAAAUCUUUAUUUUCUGGCAUCCAAAUGACUGUGCGGAGUGACCUCCGACUUACACUCUGGUGGUGGGGAUCACUUUAAUAUGGCUGUAUGAUUAUAAGCUAAUUGCUGUGUAGGAAUACUAUAUACACUUCAGAUUCAAAGAAAUUUCCCAGGGAAACAAAGAGCUGCCUCUCUUCAUUGCUAGAAGACUUUGCCAUGUUUCUUACAAAUGUGUUGAUACAUUUCCCCUCUACAUACUUAUCCAUCAAAGCCUGGUGUUUUCCACUGCUAAGGCUGGGGCACCUGACGGAAAGCCAUUCUCCUCUGUCAUUUUGUCAGGAAUUGGUCAUAAAGAUGGGUUAAUUUCUUUAGGCAAGCUCUGAAACUUAGUUUUAUGAAAAUAAAAAUUGCGGUAAUAAUAUUUCACGAUCUGUAAGAACAGAAGGCUUUGUCCCUCUUCCCGUAGUAAGGAUUAAUUUCUGGAGGUUUGAGCAUAUAUAGUUCAGUGGUAGGGUGUUUGUCUGGCAUGCCGCAGACCAUGUCUCCCACCCACCAGCAUCACAUACAAAGCAGAAAGAAAAGAAAGAAAACGUCUUCCCAGGACAAAGCGCUUCAAGCUACUUUCUUCCUUUCACUACAACACUGAUCUCAAUGCCAGAUGUCAUAAAAUGCCUUAGAUAAAGAGGGUGCUCUGUUUCCCAAAGCUUGGUUUGGCAUUGAAACCAUUUUAAUAGGGAACUGUAUAAGAAAAUCUAAUAUAAUGCCUAAAAAAGGUACAGUUGUAGACCUGGUGGACGAGGUUGCCUUCUGGCUUGAGUUCAGGGUUUUUGUAAGAAAGUCCAAAAGAAGCCUUGGCUGCUAGAGACAGGAUCUCAGAUGUAUAAUUCAAACCAGCCUUGAGCUCUCGGUGAUCCUUCUGCUUUGGUUCCUUCAGUGCUGGGAUCACAGGCAUGAGCCACUUAGGCCUUGCUCAAAAACAUCUUUGGAAAGGGACAUUUUCAUUAGCCCAGGUUUGUCAAAGUAGCGUUUGUUCCAGUAGGAAUGCAAUCAAGUCAGUAUAUUGCCUGCUCCUAUCUUGCCAUAGUCUGUUGUUAGCAGGCCGUAGACCAGGGGCUGGAUCCGUGGAGCCUUAGAUGAAGAGGUGACUAUUAGCUCCUGAAUAAUCGUGAUGAUUACAGCUGAAACUGGGAAACACAGCUUCCACAACACUUACAGAACCACAUUUUUAAAAGUCUAAAAGUUAGGCCUUUACUGUCCUCUCUACUGAGCUGUUUGGUGCCAAGUAUUUGUGAAAAUUUAUGUUUCUUUGGUGCGUGUUUAUCUCUGAGCUGAAAAAUUUUAAACCAUUUUUAGCCCCUUCCUUCAAGGAUAUUGCUUGGCUUUUUGAUUUACACAAAUUAUAUUAUGUAGGUCAAAGCCUCGACUAGAAACUCAUCUAAAUAAGGUUUACCUUGGAAUCCCAUGUUUAAACAGCACUGGAAAGAAAUUUGCUUAGCUCAAUGGUUUUCACCAAAAGUAAGAUAGUCAGUGCUGAGUAUUUAUUUUGUUUGAAUUUUUCAGUACUUUUAAGGUAUAGCCCAUUUUAGGAAUAGAAAAGUGCAUUUUUAACACUCGUUUCUCCUGUGAUGUAUUAGACAAUGUUUGGACAAAAAUGUUUAUAUUUUUAUUGUACACAACUUUUUAACAUAAUAAAUCUUGUGUUUAGACGA